GGUUCGAUCAUGGCUCAGAUUGAACGCUGGCGGGAUCUUUACACAUGCAAGUCGAACGGCAGCGCGGACUUCGGUCUGGUGGCGAGUGGCGAACGGGUGAGUAAUGUAUCGGAACGUGCCCACAGUAGCGGGGGAUAACUACGCGAAAGCGUAGCUAAUGCCGCAUACGCCCUUAAGGAAAGCGGGGACAGCUAGGGCCUCACUAUUAGAAGCGGCCGAUAUCGGAUAGCUAGUUGGUGGGGUAACGGCUCACCAAGGCGACGAUCCGUAGCGCUGGUUUGAGGAGGACGACCAGCCACACUGGGACUGAGACACAGCCCAGACUCCUACGGGAGGCAGCAGUGAAAUUUUGGACAAUGGGAAACCCACAGUCCAGCCAUCCGCGUGUGCGAUGAAGGCCUUCGGAUGUAAACGCACAGCGGGAAAGAAACGGCACGGGAUAAUACCCCGACCUGCAACUGACGGCUCACCUGCAGAAUAAGCACCGGCUAACUACGUGCCAGCGACCGCGGUAAUACGUAGGGUGCAAGCGUUAAUCGGAAUUACUGGGCGUAAAGCGUGCGCAGGCGGUUCGGAAGAAAGAUGUGAAAUCCCAGAGCUUAACUUUGGAACUGCAUUUUAACUACCGAGCUAGAAGGUAGCUAUAAGAGGGAGGUGAAUUCCGCGUGUAGCAGUGAAAUGCGUAGAUAUGCGGAGGAACACCGAUGGCGAAGGCAGCCUCCUGGGAUAACGCGGCGCUCAUGCACGAAAGCGUGAGGCAAACGGGAUUAGAUACCCUGGUGAUCCACCUAAACGAUGUCAACUAGCUGUUGGGCCUUCGGGCCUUGGUAGCGCAGCUAACGCGUGAAGUUGACCGCCUGGGGAUACGGUCGCAAGAUUAAAACUCAAGGAAUUGACGGGGACCCGCCAGUGGAUGAUGUGGAUUAAUUCGAUGCAACGCGAAAAACCUUACCUACCCUUGACAUGUCUGGAAUCCCGAAGAGAUUUGGGAGUGCUCGCAAGAGAACCGGAACACAGGUGCUGCAUGGCUGUCGUCAGCUCGUGUCGGCGAGAUGUUGGGUUAAGUCCCGCAACGAGCGCAACCCUUGUCAUUGGUUAUACGAAAGGGCACUUUCAGCGGACUGCCGGUGACAAACCGGAGGAAGGUGGGGAUGACGUCAAGUCCUCAUGGCCCAUAUGGGUAGGGCUUCACACGUCAUACAAUGGUCGGGACAGAGGGUCGCCAACCCGCGAGGGGGAGCCAAUCCCAGAAACCCACGAUCGUAGUCCGGAUCGCAGUCUGCAACUCGACUGCGUGAAGUCCGGAAUCGCUAGUAAUCGCGGAUCGGCAUGUCGCGGUGAAUACGUUCCCGGGUCUUGUACACACCGCCCACGUCACACCAUGGGAGUGGGUUUUACCGAAAUGUUGGCCUAACCGUAAGGAGAGGCGAUUACCACGGUAGGAUUCAUGACUGGGGUGAAGUCGUAACAAAGGUAG
rnacentral:rRNA from 1 species